rnacentral:rRNA from 1 species
UACGUAGGCAGCGAGCGUUGUUCGGAGUUACUGGGCGUAAAGGGUGUGUAGGCGGUUGUUUAAGUUUGGUGUGAAAUCUCCCGGCUCAACUGGGAGGGUGCGCCGAAUACUGAAUGACUUGGAGUGCGGGAGAGGAGAGUGGAAUUCCUGGUGUAGCGGUGAAAUGCGUAGAUAUCAGGAGGAACACCGGUGGUGUAGACGGCUCUCUGGACCGUAACUGACGCUGAGACACGAAAGCGUGGGUAGCAAACAGG